rnacentral:rRNA from 1 species
GUGUCAGCAGCCGCGGUAAUACGUAUGGGGCGAGCGUUGUUCGGAGUUAUUGGGCGUAAAGGGCGUGUAGGCGGCUCAUCAAGUCUGGUGUGAAAUCGGCAGGCUCAACCUGUCAUAUGCGCUGGAAACUGGUGGGCUAGAGUUCUUGAGGGGAAGCUGGAAUUCCAGGUGUAGGGGUGAAAUCUGUAGAUAUCUGGAAGAACACCGGUGGCGAAGGCGAGCUUCUAUCAGAGGACUGACGCUGAGGCGCGAAAGCGUGGGGAGCAAACAGGAUUAGAUACCCUGGUAGUCCACGCUGUAAACGAUGUGCACUAGGCGUGGGGCACGUACGUGUUCUGUGCCGUAGCUAACGUGAUAAGUGCACCGCCUGGGGAGUAUGCUCGCAAGGGUGAAACUUAAAGGAAUUGGCGGGG